CCCUUACUCCAUCUCUAUCCCUUCCGAACAACCUACAGCGCAGUUAGAGCAGACUGAAACUAAGAAAUGACACUGCCGGCUCUUAACCUCCGAUUCACCACCAUUAAUAUGAAAGUCCUCAACACCCCUGGCAAAUGCCAUGGCAUACUCAGAUGGACGAACCGCACGGCAGCAGACAUCAUCCUGAGAGACGCUCCCCCCCGACACUUCCGCAGAUAUUACCUAGCCAACUCCC